UUAAACAAUGUCAUCAAAAGCCAGGAGACAUUUGGGGAAGAAUACCCUAAUUUUAAAGGAUAUGUGCUAAAGUAUUUGGCUGUAGUAUCAUAAUAUGUGUGCGUUAUAUCCAAAUAGUUUGUUGAAAGAGAAGGAUAAAACAAUGUGGAAAAAUGUUAAAAAUUGCUGAAUCUCUGAAAGAUGCCAUUCUUUCAAUGCUUCUGUGGCUUUGAGAAUUUUGAAAAUAAAAGUUGGAAAUUAGCCUUACACGACCAAGGUUUGGACCAUUAUGCUGCUGGCUAUUUCUGAAUCUUGGCACCAGUGAGUAUGGGCUCCAAGUCCUCUUCAUCUGCUCUGUUAUUCUAUUGCUGCUCUUGGUUGAGGUUCAGAGCUGCAGUUUCAUCUGUCACUGAUGUUGCCACAUAUCAAAGCCGGUAAAUGUCCUGGAGUGGCCAUCUCCGUAUAGAUUGUCAAAAGCUGCAACUUAGGCCUGAGCUGCCUUGGAGGCCAAUUGAUCCAGAUGACUUUGCUCAAGAUGGAGGAGAGAUCCUGACCCAAAUCAGUCUUUGUGCAAAAGAGAAAAAAAUCUUUAUUAUGUUGGGCCGCCACCGAGACUGAGAAUUUGGUGUAUCUUUAUUAUGGCGGCUAGAAAUGAUUAUCCUCAUUAAAUGCAAUAUGAUUUGGAGAAAGAGCUGGAAGAUCUCUGGUCCACAGUGAACCACUACAAUGGCAUUAGUGACUUCAGAGGCACUUGUGGGCUAAGGGUUCUGAGUUCUAAAGCAAGACAGUAGAUUCCACUUCUGUGACUAUCAGGUUCCUGGUUGACAGAAAUAGGUUUUGCCAAUUGAUAGAGGAAGCUUCUAUUAAAGACUCCAAUGGGAUGAGAAGAAUUUUAAUUACGGCUUAAUCAGCAGCACAGCCACCAAGCAUAUAAAUUAUCAUGCACAUCGUGCUAAAAAUAUCCAGUUUCCUUUAUCCCCACAACUUUAUACUGACAGCACUUAUGUGAUAAUGUUGUACCUGCCAGUCUUUAAACUUCUUUGUUUUACUGGCAAAUUUCAGCAUGAGCCUCUGCUAAGGCCAUUAACAGCAUUGGUGCUUUGUGUACUUAUCCAAAUAUGUAAAUAUGGUCUACACAAUAAAACGGCUCCAAAUAAAAACUGGUGAAAAUUAUCUGACAUUCCAUUGGUGUGUCCCUUGUGCAUAUUCAUGGUUGUUUUUUUAUUUUUAUUUUUUAUAUUUCAGACAUAGUUCUUUCCCGUUUGGUGUUCCA